rnacentral:tRNA from 1 species
CCCUGUGGCUCAGUUGGUAGAGCAUGGUGUUUGCAACGCCAGCAUGGCAGGGUUGUGGGUUCAAUUCCCACAGGGG